AUUCAUCUUUGUUGCCAUUUCGAGCUGAUAAUUUUUCAAAAGAACAAUUGUUUAAAAGACCUAAAAGUGCUUUAUUUAGCACACUAAUGGAUAGAAAGCGUACUUCUUAUAUAAAAUUUAAUGAUGAAACUAAUAUGGAAGUGCCAGAAGACAGUACAACCGACAUACUUAUGAAUCAUAAAGAUUUGUUAAUAAAUAAACGAGAUAAAAUAAAAGUAAAUAAAGAAGUUAUUUGUGUAAAAGAUUUAAUAGAAAAGAGUAUAAAGGAAUUUUGGGUUAAUAGUAAAGAUGAAUUUUUUAAAAAAUAUUGUGAUUCACCUGACCAUCUAAAUGAAAAAGAAAUUGACAAAUUAAAAGAAUUAAUACCUUUUCAAACUGAUAAUUGUAAUUAUACAAUUGAUCAUAUGUUUAACGAUGAUUUAGAUAAUGAAAGUGAAUCUUUUGUAUUAAAAGAUUAUAUAACAGAUGAAAAGUUAAAAAAUUUUAAUUUAGAUAUGAUUGAUAAUCAUUUAUAUGAUAAGCAAUGUUUAUAUGAACAUGAAAUGAUAAGUAAUAAAAAAAUAAAUUCACAUAUUAAAUAUAUUCAUAAAGAUGCAAAAAUUGAGGUGGACAAAUUAUUACAUUUAUUUCCUAGAGAUUUUAUAAAAAAAUAUAAAGUUGUUGAUUUGUUAGGUGAAGGUGUAUAUGGUAAAGUGUUUAAGGCAGAAGCGUUAGAUGAUUCUUAUUUGCAUUUUGCUGUAAAAGUGUUGAGAUAUUUUUGGCCUGUGUUUAAACACAAAUUUGGUACUGAAGAAUUUGCUGUAAACGAAUUUAACAUUAUGCGUAUUUUAUUCCAUCCAAAUAUUGUUGGUCUAAUUGAUAGUUUUAGAGUUCAUACAUAUCGAAAAUACAAUGUAAAAAGCCAUCGAAAUCAUAGAGAUAAGAGCAAAAAAGAAUCAAUACAUUAUGAUUUUAGUAACCAACCAUGUAAAGAAUUAGAACAUAAUGUCUAUAUGGCAGGACGUGAUUCCCUCGAAAAAUUGCAACAAUAUACUGAAAUAAUUAAAAAUUGUGAUAAUACUGUGGAAGAAUUAGAAAAAGAAUUAGUAAUAAACAAUAAAGAUUAUAUUGAAGACAAACUAGAAGAUGAUAAAAAAAAGGAUGCUAUUAAUUCUAAAGGUAAUAAAAAAAACUCUUCUGAAUUAAAACAAUGUUCUGUAUUACCUAAAAGUGACACCACGUAUGGACGUAGUGAUAAUAUAAGUGCACAUAAUUUAAUCGCUAGUAUCAAAAAUAAUAAUAAUAUUACCACUAAUACUACUACAACUGCCAUUGCCACAACUACCACUACCACUGCCACAACUACCAAUACUUCUAGCAACCUGCACCAUGAUAAGUCACAAAAUAAAAAUGCUAUAUUACAUGUAUCCACUAAAGAAGAGAAAGUAAAAAAUAGAAACCUAAAUAAAACAUAUCAUUUAAGGAAUAUAUAAAAAAUGGAACACAUUAUAAAAAUAUAAUCGCUAAAAAUAUAAUCUCUAAAAAUAUAGUCUCUAAAAAUAUAGUCUCUAAAAAUAUAGUCUCUAAAAAUAUAGUCUCUAAAAAUAUAAUCUCUAAAAAUCUAGUCUCUAAAAAUGAACAAAAAAG
rnacentral:lncRNA from 1 species